AACGUAGGAGACAAACGUUAUCCGGAGUUACUGGGCGUAAAGGGCGUGUAGGUGGUUUCGUAAGUCUGGUGUGAAAUAUCUCGGCUUAACCGAGGCAGGUCGUCGGAUACUGCGGGACUAGAGGACGGUAGAGGCGUGUGGAAUUCCGGGUGUAGUGGUGAAAUGCGUAGAGAUCCGGAGGAACACCAGUGGCGAGGGCGCGCGACUGGACCUGAACUGACACUGAGGGACGAAAGCUAGGGGAGCGAAAGGG
rnacentral:rRNA from 1 species